rnacentral:rRNA from 1 species
AGCGAACGCUGGCGGCAGGCCUAACACAUGCAAGUCGAACGAACUCUUCGGAGUUAGUGGCGUGCGGUUGAGUAACACGUGGGAACUUGCCUUUUGGUUCGGAAUAACUCAGGGAAACUUGUGCUAAUACCGUAUGUGCCCUUCGGGGGAAAGAUUUAUCGCCAUUAGAGCGGCCCGCGUCUGAUUAGCUAGUUGGUGUGGUAACGGCUCACCAAGGCGACGAUCAGUAGCUGGUCUGAGAGGAUGACCAGCCACACUGGGACUGAGACACGGCCCAGACUCCUACGGGAGGCAGCAGUGGGGAAUCUUGCGCAAUGGGCGAAAGCCUGACGCAGCCAUGCCGCGUGAAUGAUGAAGGUCUUAGGAUUGUAAAAUUCUUUCACCGGGGACGAUAAUGACGGUACCCGGAGAAGAAGCCCCGGCUAACUUCGUG